rnacentral:rRNA from 1 species
UACGUAGGGGGCUAGCGUUGUCCGGAUUUAUUGGGCGUAAAGGGUGUGUAGGUGGCGCGCUAAGUCGGGUGUGAAAUUUCGGAGCUUAACUCCGAAACUGCAUUCGAUACUGGCGUGCUUGAGGACUGGAGAGGAGACUGGAAUUCAUGGUGUAGCAGUGAAAUGCGUAGAGAUCAUGAGGAAGACCAGUGGCGAAGGCGGGUCUCUGGACAGUUCCUGACACUGAGACACGAAGGCCAGGGGAGCAAACGGG